GACGAACGCUGGCGGCGUGCUUAACACAUGCAAGUCGAGCGAUGAAGUUCCUUCGGGAAUGAAUUAGCGGCGGACGGGUGAGUAACACGUGGGUAACCUGCCUCAUAGAGGGGAAUAGCCUUUCGAAAGGAAGAUUAAUACCGCAUAAGAUUGUAGUAUCGCAUGAUACAGCAAUUAAAGGAGUAAUCUGCUAUGAGAUGGACCCGCGUCGCAUUAGCUAGUUGGUGAGGUAACGGCUCACCAAGGCGACGAUGCGUAGCCGACCUGAGAGGGUGAUCGGCCACAUUGGGACUGAGACACGGCCCAGACUCCUACGGGAGGCAGCAGUGGGGAAUAUUGCACAAUGGGGGAAACCCUGAUGCAGCAACGCCGCGUGAGUGAUGACGGCCUUCGGAUUGUAAAACUCUGUCUUCAGGGACGAUAAUGACGGUACCUGAGGAGGAAGCCACGGCUAACUACGUGCCAGCCGCCGCAGUAAAAC
rnacentral:rRNA from 1 species